rnacentral:rRNA from 1 species
AUUGAACGCUGGCGGCAGGCCUAACACAUGCAAGUCGAACGGUAACAGGGAUCAGCUUGCUGAUUCGCUGACGAGUGGCGGACGGGUGAGUAAUGUCUGGGAAACUGCCUGAUGGAGGGGGAUAACUACUGGAAACGGUAGCUAAUACCGCAUAACGUCGCAAGACCAAAGAGGGGGACCUUCUGGCCUCUUGCCAUCGGAUGUGCCCAGAUGGGAUUAGCUAGUAGGUGGGGUAACGGCUCACCUAGGCGACGAUCCCUAGCUGGUCUGAGAGGAUGACCAGCCACACUGGAACUGAGACACGGUCCAGACUCCUACGGGAGGCAGCAGUGGGGAAUAUUGCACAAUGGGCGCAAGCCUGAUGCAGCCAUGCCGCGUGUAUGAAGAAGGCCUUCGGGUUGUAAAGUACUUUCAGCGGGGAGGAAGGGAGUAAAGUUAAUACCUUGGCUCAUUGACGUUACCCGCAGAAGAAGCACCGGCUAACUCCGUG